AGCAAUGGAAUGUCACCUUCACGAUUAAUUGUGCUACACAUAAUGUGUUCUCUGGUUAGCAGACUCACUCUAGAAACCUUCCGCGGCAGCCUGAGGAAGUCGGCAGCCAUGUUGGAGAAGCCCACCUACUAGGAAGCCAGUGAAUCCUUUCAGAUCUGGAAGGAAGGAUUUAAGAUGUGGGAGUGGCCUCUCAGACAUAGUCCUAUAGCUGACAGCAAGAAGUCGGGGCCUUGGGUCCCACAGCUGCAAAGAUAUGAAUUCUUCCAAUGACCCGGGUGAGGCAGUCAGGCCCCAGAUGAGACUACAGUCGGCUGACCCCUUGGCUACAGCCUGUGACACCCCGAGCAUGGGAUGCAGCUAUGCUGGGCUCUGCCUCCAGACACACAGAAACUGAGAUGGCUACUGGUUUAAGUCAAAACAGAAUCACAUCCUUUCUCCAACACAUCUGACCAAGGCAGAGACUACACUUCCCAGGCUUUCUCAAGUGGCUACGCUAUGUUCUCGCAUGCGCAGGAGAGUGGAGGAUUGAACCGAUGGAUAUAGUUAACACUGAAGAAUUUACGACUCUUAGGCAGAUGAUGCUCCAAAAGUCCUAUUAUUUCAUCCCUGAAAUUUGUGAAAUCUGGUGUCUGCACAGUAACACUUUCAUCUCACGGGCUCUCACCUAUUAACCUAAUAACUCCAAGUGAUAUUUCCUCAGCUUCCUGGAUCUGAGUGCUGCUUUACAAACCUAUUUUCUAAUUCACAUGGUGGAAGAUCCCUCCAGAUCAUAUGAGAAAGUACACCUUAUGAACUUUCCUUUAUGUUGCCUAUGACGCACAAUGAGGAAAUGUAUCUUACUGAGGGUUAUGCUCCUGGUGAGAUGAAAGCGAGCCGGUGAAGUUGGGGAACACCCUCACUUCCGGGAACCCAUGCUGACCACCUCCCCGCCCCCAUGCAAUACCAUGAAGGUACUCCAGAAGUUUAUGAAGUGAUGGCACAUUCUGAAGGGCCGCUCAGGGCCUGUGACAGUAUGUCUUCUGUAGG